CCUACGGGGGGCAGCAGUGGGGAAUAUUGGACAAUGGGCGAAAGCCUGAUCCAGCCAUGCCGCGUGUGUGAAGAAGGCCUUCGGGUUGUAAAGCACUUUCAGUGGGGAAGAAAGCCUUGGGGCUAAUACCCUCGAGGAAGGACAUCACCCACAGAAGAAGCACCGGCUAACUCCGUGCCAGCAGCCGCGGUAAUACGGAGGGUGCGAGCGUUAAUCGGAAUUACUGGGCGUAAAGCGCGCGUAGGCGGUCUGAUAAGCCGGUUGUGAAAGCCCCGGGCUCAACCUGGGAACGGCAUCCGGAACUGUCAGGCUAGAGUGCAGGAGAGGAAGGUAGAACUCCCGGUGUAGCGGUGAAAUGCGUAGAGAUCGGGAGGAAUACCAGUGGCGAAGGCGGCCUUCUGGACUGACACUGACGCUGAGGUGCGAAAGCGUGGGUAGCAAACAGGAUUAGAUACCCCUGUAGUC
rnacentral:rRNA from 1 species